GGCCCAGACUCUACGGGAGGCAGCAGUGGGGAAUAUGCACAAUGGGCGAAAGCUGAUGCAGCGACGCCGCGUGAGGGAUGACGGCUUCGGGUUGUAAACCUCUUCAGCAGGGAAGAAGCGAAAGUGACGGUACCUGCAGAAGAAGCACCGGCUAACUACGUGCCAGCAGCCGCGGUAAUACGUAGGGUGCGAGCGUUGUCCGGAAUUAUUGGGCGUAAAGAGCUUGUAGGCGGUUUGUCGCGUCUGCUGUGAAAAUCCGGGGCUCAACCCCGGACUUGCAGUGGGUACGGGCAGACUAGAGUGUGGUAGGGGAGACUGGAAUUCCUGGUGUAGCGGUGAAAUGCGCAGAUAUCAGGAGGAACACCGAUGGCGAAGGCAGGUCUCUGGGCCACUACUGACGCUGAGAAGCGAAAGCAUGGGGAGCGAACAGGAUUAGAUACCCUGGUAGUCCAUGCCGUAAACGUUGGGAACUAGGUGUGGGUCUCAUUCCACGAGAUCCGUGCCGCAGCUAACGCAUUAAGUUCCCCGCCUGGGGAGUACGGCCGCAAGGCUAAAACUCAAAGGAAUUGACGGGGGCCCGCACAAGCGGCGGAGCAUGCGGAUUAAUUCGAUGCAACGCGAAGAACCUUACCAAGGCUUGACAUAUACCGGAAACUUCCAGAGAUGGUUGCCCCUUUUAGGUCGGUAUACAGGUGGUGCAUGGUUGUCGUCAGCUCGUGUCGUGAGAUGUUGGGUUAAGUCCCGCAACGAGCGCAACCCUCGUUCUAUGUUGCCAGCACGUMAUGGUGGGGACUCAUGGAAGACUGCCGGGGUCAACUCGGAGGAAGGUGGGGAUGACGUCAAAUCAUCAUGCCCCUUAUGUCUUGGGCUUCACGCAUGCUACAAUGGCCGGUACAAAGGGCUGCGAUACCGCAAGGUGGAGCGAAUCCCAAAAAACCGGUCUCAGUUCGGAUUGGGGUCUGCAACUCGACCCCAUGAAGUCGGAGUCGCUAGUAAUCGCAGAUCAGCAACGYGCGAUGUAACUGAA
rnacentral:rRNA from 1 species